GGAGAGUUGGGUGAGUGGCUGAAACCACACCCCUGCUAAGGGUGCAUACCUUCGGGUAUCAAGAGUUCGAAUCUCUUACUCUCCG
rnacentral:tRNA from 1 species